AUCGAUUCCUAGUAGCAAACACGUUAAAGGGCCUCAGUUGGCCGAAAAAAUACGAAAAAUCGAAACUCACCAGCGGCGGGGCUCUCCGGUGCGGUGGCUCCUCCGGCUCACGUUGUGGUUGGGUGUUUCGCUUCAGUCAACAUGUAGAGAAGAAAACAGUGAUCACAAUUGUGAAAAAAUUACACGAAAUGAGAAUCGGGAAAGGCCUCAUCGGAGGCGGUUUGUGAAAUUUCCCGCAGCGGCUUC
rnacentral:lncRNA from 1 species